AUGGAGGGGAGGAGAACCGCUCUCUGUUUCCUCGUCGUGCUCGCGCUUCUCGCAAGCCCUACUCUCGCAGAACGCAAGUGCUACAAGGAGCGCUUCUACUCCAUGAUAUGCAUGAAGUGGCACUGCGCCAUGGAGUGCGUCAACCAGAGCCCGGACCUGGUGCUCAAGUCGGCCCACUGCACCACCAAGCACGUCAUCAUGCGCUACUGCAACUGCGAGAUGUGUACCAAGGAGUAG
rnacentral:rRNA from 1 species